UGGGGAAUCUCGCACAAUGGAGGAAACUCUGAUGCAGCGACGCCGCGUGAGCGAAGAAGCCUUUCGGGGUGUAAAGCUCUUACGCCAGGGACGAUAAUGACGGUACCUGGAGAAGCAGCUGCGGCUAACUACGUGCCAGCAGCCGCGGUAAUACGUAGGCAGCAAGCGUUGUUCGGAAUUACUGGGCGUAAAGGGUGCGUAGGCGGCGCUCUAAGUUUGGUGUGAAAUCUCCCGGCUUAACUGGGAGGGUGCACUGAAAACUGAGGCGCUCGAGUAUGGGAGAGGAAAGCGGAAUUCCUGGUGUAGCGGUGAAAUGCGUAGAGAUCAGGAGGAACACCUGCGGUGCAGACGGAUUUCUGGACCAUCACUGACGCUGAGGCACGGAAGCGUGGGUAGCAAACA
rnacentral:rRNA from 1 species